rnacentral:rRNA from 1 species
GGUAAUUUAGUCUUAUAAUCAAUAAAAAUGGAUCGAAUACAUAUAAAUAAAUAUAAAAAACAAAAAGAGUUAAAUUUAUCUUCCCAUCACCCCAACAAAAUAAAUUUUUACAUUAAAAAUUUACAUACAAAAAAAUAAAAAUAUAUAAAACUCUAUAGGGUCUUCUCGUCCCAAAAAAAUAUUUAGGCAUUUUAACCUAAAAUUUAAAUUCAAUAAAAAAAUAAAGACAGUUAUCACCUCGUCAAACCAUUCAUUCCAGCCUACAAUUAAAAGACUAAUGAUUAUGCUACCUUUGCACGGUCAAAAUACCGCGGCCCUUCAAUACAGUGGGCAGGUCAUACAUCAAAUUAUACAAGAAGAG